rnacentral:miRNA from 1 species
AGGACCCACUGGAUCUGCAUCUUC